UUUUUUUUUUUUUUUUUUUUUUUGAGACAGAGUCUCCAUCUGUCACCUAGGCUGGAGUGCAGUAGCGUGAUCUUGGCUCACUGCUGCAACCUCCGCUUCCGGGGUUAACGUGAUUCUCCUGCCUCAGCCUCUUAGGUAGCUGGGAUUACAGGCUCCUGCCACCACACCCGGCUAAUUUUUGUAUUUUAGUAGAGAUGGGGCUUCACCAUGUUGGCCAGGCUGGUCUCAAACUCCUGACCUCAAGUGAUCUGCCAGCCGUGGCCUCCCAAAGUGCUGAGAUUACAGGCGUGAGCCACCGCACCUGGCCUCUUCUUCGUCUUAGAAGAACACCAGUCACUAGGAUUAGGGCCCCACCUCAACGGCCUCCCUUCAACUUAAUCACCUCUUUAAAGGCUCUAUCUCCAAACAUGGUCAAAUUCUGAAGUACUGGCUAGCAGUUGGGACUUCAACAUAUGAAUUGUGUGUGACGGUGGGGUGCACGAUUCAUCCAUAACAGGGGGUGGAGGAAGGAGAUGAUGAAUAUCAAUUAUGGAUUUAGGAUUAUCUCUAAGACCAGGAAAUAUAGCUGGUCCUGCUAACUGUUUCAUUUAUAUGUAUGUGUGUUGGCUUUUGGAAGUUGGGACUUGAAGAAGUAGUGCUAGGAUGGAAUAAAAUGUGGGGUAUGGAUGCGUCUGAACCAUGUGGGGGUCAGAUGCUGUCAACGUCCCAUCCACAUCCUCUCAGUACCUCUCAAUUCCUUAAACACACAGUUCCAACUGUCAGGAACUGUGUCCCUGCCUAAGGACCCUCUCAGACCAUUCUCCAGCAUUGGAGACAGUCCAGAAGUGCCAGGAAAUUAAUGCCUCCUGGGAGUAUUCGCAACCAGUGACUGACAAGAGUUGGUGAAUAAAUACUCCAGCUCCCUUGCGGCUUAGGUCAAUAUCUCCUAAGUGUGUGUGUUUUCUUUUGGGUUUUUUUGUUUUUGUUUUAGCUUUUCUGUUGCCCGUGCUGGAGUGCAGUGGUAUGAUCUUGGCUUACUGCAACCUCCACCUCCCGGGUUCAAGCAAUUCUUCUGCCUCAGUCUCUUGAGUAGCUAGGAUUACAGGCACGUGCCACCAUGCCCGGCUAAUUUUUUAUUUUUAGUAGAGACAGGAUUUCACCAUGUUGGCCAUGCCGGUCUGGAACUCUUGACCUCGGGUGAUCUGCCCACCUCGGCCUCCCAAAGUGCUGGGAUUACAGGCAUGAGCCACCGUGCCUGGCCCUAAUUUUCUGUUCUGCACUGUUUCCCGGGAGUCUUCAACAAGAGUAAGCUCCAGCUGCCUGCCAUGUAGCUUACUUCAUAAUGCAUGCUUUUUUUGCCUUUCUUCUUUUCCCUAUCUCAUGUCCCCA
rnacentral:lncRNA from 1 species